GAAGGAUUUAGCAUAGAGAAUCUUGUGAUUGUCACUGUAUUGUCUUCUUGUUACACCGAUUUUGGAGAUUCCCUGGACGCGGAGAUAAUCGCCAUAGACGUGUAAGAAUUCAGGAAUUGUAUCUAGUUCUUCAACUACACAUGUAAGGCACUUCUUCUCCUUGGCAUGUCUUUGUGUAAGCCCUUUUUCUGAAUCAUCCAUUUGUGAUAACAUUGAAUUGUUUAAAGCCUCUCUUGACAAAGGUUGUUCAUGUUCUUGUAUGUUCUUUGUCGAAGGCAUUUUCUUUCUAGUUUGAUAUAUUUCUAGAUAAUAUUUUGAGGUGGUAAAAUGUAAUUCAUUCUGAUUCUAAUCUUCAUAUCUCUUGAAAUCGACCUUGAAUUACAUACACAUACACACAUAGGCGUUCUAUAAGCAGCUAGAUACGACACCUAUUGUGCAACUAUCGAUUAGUUGGGUAUAAGGAGACAUGAUGUGAAGUAUUCACCGAGCCCUCAUGUGGCAUGCUACGAUUGAGACCUUCAUGAGGCCGGGUACGGAAGGAUGUGUUAUAAGAUACUACCGAGAUCUCUCGAGGCCAAAUACGAUGAGUCCUGUUCAGCCCGGGUACAACCAAGACCUUUUAAGGUCGUAAAAGCAUAAGCCUUUGCCAAGUCCUAUAUGAGGUCAGGAAUGACAUGAGAUAAUGUGUCCUAAAUAGUGGAUAAAUAAUAUAAUAUUAUAUCUAAUGUGUAUCCUUAAUGAGUGGUUUAACCUUUUACAACACUUGGAUACUUUCAUGAUUCAUAAUCACUCUAGUGCACGCCCCGGUGGCUUGCCUUCAGUGCUCAGGUUGAAGUGGUGUAUUCAUGUUUCUUAUGUUAUGUUCUUGGUUUACACUAGAUAAUCAGUAUUACAUAAUCAAUACAGCUUUCGUACUGAUUCCCUUUUAUUUUGGUUGUUGUGUCCAUGCUCACAAGUACAGAUAGACCCGGUGACGUCCCUCCCUAGUAGGCUGUACAUUUCAAUAGUUGGUUGCCGCACUCCACUUCUUUGAAAUAGCUGUACGGAAGUCAAUAAGCACUGGAGUAUGUGUCUUUAUCAUUUUGGGUAUAGUGGGGUCCUGUCCUGGCCAAGGUGUAUAUUAUGGUACUCUUAGGGGCUAGCAGACUAGUGUUCUUUAUGUGUGUGUGUGUGUGUAUAUCUAUAUAUAUAUAUAUGUAUAAUAUUAAGGUUUCUUCCAAAGUCAAUUGCGAACAUUUAUUAAUUAUUGUAACAUACUAGGAGGCCUGGUCGGCCUAUAUUCAUGAUGAAAGGUUUAAGUAUGAAUGUUGGUUCGCACGAGCUUUCAAGUGUCCUGUGUCAGGCGCACCUCCUGAGAUUAGGGUGUGACAAACUUGGUAUAAGAUCAUGUAUAUACUUGGGAGUAUGCAAGCCGUAUCUAGUAGAGUCUUGUUUAUGGGUAUGUCGUGCACCAUACAUAUAAACAGAAGGCUAAAAGAUAUCUUGGGCGAAUACCUUUCUUUCUGAUCUAGAUUGUGCAAUAAAGGUGAGUCGUAAGUAUUCACUUCUAAUCCUAAUCUUUUUUAUGUCAACACAAUCUCUACUUUAAGACGUUAAUCGGUUGUUUAGAGAUUAAAUUAAGAGGAAAGGGAGGUACCACUCCCACGCCACAUGCCCAUAUGGAUCAACAUGAGCCUCAUGAUGAGGUUGUUACUCAGGUUUCAGGAACAACACCGCUAACCCCAGAAUGGUAAAGAGAAGCUCAUGUACACCAAUUCCUCCCAGUUGCUCAUGUCCAAGAUUUAGAUGAGAAGUGUUGUGCAACUGUUAACUUGACUAGUAACCUCGCAGGUCCAACAUCAGGCUCAUGGCACCUCAGUAUAUCAGUUAGCAUGAGAGUUCGAGACUUUAUUAACCUGGACCCCCUAGUAUUGACCAAAAUAGAUCCAAACGAAGAUCCUCAUAAUUUUCUAGAUCAGAUGCAGUGGACUUUAUUAGUAAUGCAUGCCAUUUAUAAUGAUUCAGCAAAACUUGCCCCUUAUAUAUUGUGGGAUAUUGAUGUCACUUGAUAUGAAACUUGGGAACAGUCUAUGGGACAUCUAGCCCCACUAGUAGGAUGGAAAGAGUUUUCUCAGGCAAUUUUUGCAGCAGUAUUUGCGUAUUGAGCUUCAUUGAUCCAGAAAAGAUAGAUUCUUAGAGUUGGAGAAGGCCAAUACAAGUGCUCAAGAGUAUAGUACGCAAUUUAACUCCUUGUCUAAGUAUGCACAUUCGGUUGUGGUUGAGAUGAGUGAUAAAUUACAUCGAUAACUAGGUGGUUUAGGACCACAUUUGAUUAAUGAAUUUACCACUACUUCUUUUGAGUCCGAAUAUAGAUAUUUACCGUAUUCAAGCGUGUGCACAAAACUUAGAGGAUCCUAAGAGCAAAUAGCGAGCCGCUCGACCGCAUGAUCGGGGCUAAUAUAAGAGCGCCCGGUCCACUGGUGAUACAGGAGAGUCUAAAGGUGGGUUUAGAUCUCUAUUUCCUUAAGAUCUAUCUUAUCUAGCGGCAAAUGCAAUGUCAUAGUCCCAAGGUCAACAUUGUGAUCGGGUCGCUUAUGCCCAUCAAGGUUAGAAUUCAAGGGGACAAAGAUCAUAGUAUAGUGUGGCCUAGAAAGAUGAGACUUCUGGUACCAUAUUGUGGUUUAUAUGGUAGGACUCAUUUCAGAAAAUGCCACCAGGGGUUUAGAUUUAUGUUAUUCAUAUUGGGCAACACGACCACAUUAUACGUUUUUGCCCAGUGAAUGGUGGGAGUAAUAUGAUGCCACAAAUGGGAUCUGUAGCAGCUUCUUCAUAAUCAAUACGCCCUCAUAAGCAAGGCAUGCAACCAUCGAUUGGAAGAGGUAGAGGUAAAAGUGGAGCAUCUAGCUUGGGUGGACAAUAGAAUCACAUCUACACAUUGUCAAGACGACAGAACCUAGAGUCAUCACCGGAUGUGGUUACAUAUAUAUUGUACGUAUUCCCCACUAAUGUGUAUGGUUUGAUAGAUCCAGGUUCUACCUUGUCGUAUAUUACUCAAUUUGUUGCUAUGGCAAAAAACCUAAAUUUUUACGUCAGCUAUUUGAAAUGCCUAAGCCCGUAGGUAAAUCAGUGAUAGUUAGAUGGGUAUAUCGAGGUUGCGAUGUAAUGAUUUAUGAUCGUCACACAGUAGCUGAUUUUAACGAAUUAGAAAUGGUAUAAUUUAAUGUUUCUAUAUGAAUUGACUGGAUAGCUUCUUGUUAUACUAAUGUGGAUUGUUGGAAGAAAGUUGUUCGCUUUAGCUUUCCAGGAGAGUCCGUUACUAAAUGGAAGGAUGAUGUUGCUGCACCUAAAGGGAAGUUUAUUUCUUAACUUAAGGCUGAAAGGAUGUAUUUAUCAUACAGAACAUGGAGGAAAAACCUCCAGCCCUUCUGUCGGUCCCGGUUGUUAAUGAAUUAUUUGAUGUAUUUCCUUAUGAGCUCCCAGAUAUCCUUCUCGAGAGAACUUGAGUUUGAAUCAACAUGAUUCUUAAUAGCAAGUGAUAUCUAUUCAUCCAUACAGAAUGGCUCAUGCUGAGCUGAAGGAAAUGAAAAUUCAGGUAAAUGAUCUUUUAGAUAAGGGCUUAAUCCAACCCAACACUUCCCCGUGGGGUAGCCCAGUGUUAUUUGUUCUUAAUAAAGACAGUUCGCUGAGGAUGUGCAUUGAUAACCGGCAGUUGAACAAGUAUCCUCUUCUAAGGAUUUAUGACAUAUUUGAUCAAUUGCAAGGUAUAAGCUAUUUUUCAAUGAUUGACCUCGGAUUUGGGUAUCAUCGGUUAAGAGUCAAGGAAGAAGACAUCUCGAAGAUAUCCUUUCGGACCCGAUAUGGCAAUUAUAAAUUCCUUGUUAUGUCUUUUGUCUUAACUAAUGCACCAGCGACCUUUAUGGAUCUGAUGGAUCGUGUGUUCUAGCCAUCUUUGGAUAUCUUUGUGAACACAUUUAUAGAUGAUAUUCUAUUACAUUCUCGAUCAGAAGCGGAGCAUGUAGAGCAUUUAUGAAUGAUAUUAUGCAUGCUCCUGGAUCGUAAGUUAUACACUGUUCUCCAAAUGUGAGUUUUGGUUUCACUCGGUGGAUUCUCUUGGGCAUGUAGUAUCAAAUGAGGGUAUCUAACUUGAUAAUCAAAAGGUCGAAGCAGUUAAGCAUUGGCCAAGGCCCACAACUCCUAUUGAGGUAUGUAGUUUCUUGGGCUUAGUUGGUUACUAUCAAAGAUUUAAGGAGAAUUUCUCAUCCAUUUUUGAUCCAUUAACAAAGUUGAUGCAUAAGGAAGCUAAGUUCCAGUGGACCGAUACUUGUGAAAAGAGCUUCCAAGAGUUAAAGAAUAAGUUAACCUCAGUACCAAUUCUAGCUCUUCCAGAAGGAUCAAAGGGUUAUGUUAUAUGUUAUGAUGCUUCUAGAGAGGUAUUGGGUAGUAUCCUGAUGCAACAUAGUAGAUUUGUGGCCUAUGCUUUAAGACAACUAAGAAAACAUGAGUGAAAUUACCUGAGUCACGAUCUAGAGUUAGCGGCUGUUAUUUUAACCCUAAAAAUAUGGCGUUAUUUUUAUGGAGUUUAUAUUGAUAUAUUUACAAAUCACAGGAGCUUGAAAUACAUAUUCAAGCAAAAAGAAUUUGAUUUAUGACAAUGGAGGUGAUUUGAAUUGUCAAAAGGAUUAUGAUGUUUAAUAUCCUCACCCUGGAAACGCAAAAUGUUGUGAAUAUUAAGUCGGAAGUAUAUGAACAGUCUACGACAUGUGAACAUUUCUAAAUUGGACAUGACUAAAGACUACAACAGUUAACUGAUUUAAGUGUACGACUAUUUGACACAGGUGAUGGAGGAGCCAUAGUUUAAAAUGAUGUUGAAUCCUCGUUAGUAGCUAAAGUAAAGGCACGACAAUCUGACAAUCUAGCGUUGGUGAUAGUAAUAUAAAGAAUUCACUUCCAGAAGAAGUAGUUGUCCGAGGUAUCCGAUGAUGGAAUCCUUAGAUACAAGGGUCGGUUGUGUGUGCUCGAUGUUUGGGACUCUGAGGACAAAUUAUGGUGAAUAUUCAUCAGUCCCAAUAUUCUAUUCAUCUGGGUCAACCACCAUGUAUCAUGAUCUUCGAUAGUCUUACUAGUGGAACGACAUGAAAAGGAACAUUUAUAUGUUACUCAUUGCCCAAAUUGUCAACAAAUAAAGAUUGAACACCAGAAGCUAGGAGAAUUACUUUAAAAUAUGGAAAUUUCGGCCUGAAAAUGGGAGAUAAUCAACAUGGACUUUGUUACCAGAUUACCACAUUCUCUCCAAAAGUUUGAUUCCAUAUGGGUUAUUGUGUAUAGACUCACCAAGUUAGCUCAUUUCUUACAUUUCUUACUUGUAAGAACUACCUUUUAUAUUGGAGGAUUAUGCCAAGCUAUAUAUCAAGAAAAUAGUUUUACUUCAUGGAGUUCCAAUUUGGAUUAUCUCGCACAGAGGUGUCCAGUGUACAACAAACUUCUAGAGAUCUUUCCAAGGGAGUUUGGGUACAAGAAUCGGCCUUAGCACAGUGUUCCAUCCACAACGGACAGCCAAGCCGAGCAUACUAUUCAAACGCUCGAGGACAUGUUACACACCUUUUCUUCACGAAAAGCUUUUGCACACUCAACCUUUUAAAAGUGUGUCUAAGACACACUACUUUUAACUAGAAAUCACUUGCGUAUUUACACAAAAAAAGCACGUGAAGUCCUUAAAAACUCCCUCAUUUUUUGUUUUCCCUCUUACAGGAACCCUCCCCUGGUCUUAUUUCCUAAAUAGAAUUUUUGAAAGAGCAUAAAAUAUAAGAUCUGAAAUUGAGCUAUAUUUGUUGGUUUAUUGUCCAAAUAUUGUAAAAGUUAUUUACUUGUGAUAGAGUUAAAAGGUUUAACAGUAUUAUUGAAGGUUUGAUAAAAUAAAAAAAAUUGAAUCCACCAUUAUUGGAGUAUCAAAAAAACUUGAAAUUCUAUUGGGUCUUGUUGAUUAUUGAGUUGUUAUACUCAGUUUGUUGCUCAAUUAUUUUCGGCUAGUUGUUUAGACAUGAUGAUUGAAUUUUAGUAUUGUUGGAAACUUUCUCACAAACAAUCAUAAUGGUAGCAACAAUGGUGCUUAAGAUAGAAAAUGGGAAGAUGAAGAAGAUGAGUUUUAAUUGUAAUUUUUAAUUUUUUUCCUUUUUAAUGUCAAUGACAUGUGUCGCAACUCUAUUAGGGCGUAACUUUCACUUCAUCUGAAAAGUUGGUCCAUCACAAAAGUGGUGUAUCUUAGACACAUUUUCGUAAGAUUGAGUGUGUAAAAGGUUUUCCGUGAACGAAAGGUGUAUAACAGGAAUUUCGCUGCAUGAUCGAUGGAUAAAUUAUGUAUUUUGUCUAAUAUUAUAUUUUAUUAAAUGCAUAGCCCCAAUGAGUGGCUUAACCUUUUAUAAAAUUCACACACAUUCAUGAUUCAUAAUCACUGCAAUGCAUGCCCCCGGUGGUUUGUCUUUUAUGUUCAGGUUGAAAUGACGUAUUCAUGUCUCUUAUGUUAUGUUCUUGUUUUACAUACAUUAUCAGCUUUACAUACGCUGUACAUUUUUCGUAUUGACGCUCUUUUUUUUUGGGUAUUAUGUUCUGCCCAUAUGUACAGAUAAAUCUGGCGUCGUCCUUCCCCAGUAAGGUGUAAUUUCAGUGGUUGGUUGUCGCACUCC
rnacentral:lncRNA from 1 species